rnacentral:lncRNA from 1 species
UUAAAACUCAAUUUCACCCCUUUAAAACAGGAUCGAAAACAGGCUAUAGUAUUGAAAUCAGAAUCACAACUAAUAAAUCUUAUUACAACACAAUCUAAAUUAUCAGAGUAGCUGAUAAUAUUUAAUAAAUUUAUUUUACAUUUGAAGCGAAAUUAAGCCAACUCUAAUUACCACUAAUCUCGCAGACAUCUUCCUGAAUACUUUACCUGAUCAUUCAGUUACAACUAAUCACUUGAAAUCCUUGCCUAGCAUUACUCUUACGCGCAGCCUAGACAGAUGAAUCAUCUUUAACACUAUCUGAAAGGGGUUAGAAGAAAUAGCAAGAAUGAGCAAAAGAAUGCCCAGCAAGUAUAAUAGUUAAAAAGAAACAGGAGUUAAAGCAGAAAAAGUAAUUGAACUGGAAGUAUACAAAACAACAUGCUUUUAACUUGAAACCAAAACAAUUCAAAAGUACAUAUAAUUUCCAAAGCAUUCAGAUAUAUUGGACGUUAAUAGUCACGUAGAUGAUCAAUCUACAGUAACUUGGACAAUGGUUACGCAUUGCCCUGAAAUAACAUGUUCCAGAAGUGAAGACUAGCUAGGUCUUCAAAUAAUGCUGGGCCAUUGCCUUACAAUGGUCCUCUUACGCAAACAAAUCGGCUGGGCCGUUACGAAUAACGAUCCUCUUACGCAACUCCAAUUAUAUCUGAGUUUUUACUUCCCAGUUCUAAAGAAUUGCAUUUUUAAGAAAAGGUUUAUUCCAUAGGAAGUAUACUUACAACAGAUAAGCCUUACAACCGAGGAACUAAACCGAGUUAUGAAAAACAUUUAUUGAGAUUUGAAACCAUGUGUAUCAAUUUGAUAAGCUACUCUUUCCAACUCAAAAUCGUACUUAAGUCGUGCAUUUGCAAUAAGUAAAAGUUUCAAGGAAAGAGCACUUGCUUCUAAAUAUAGAAUUUGAAUAGGAAUACUUGCAGUAAUUACAAGUUGAGAAUAGAAUUACUUGCAUAAUAAGGUUUAAAGGAAAUAUCACUUGAACAAUAAGUGAAGAUAGGGAUACUUGCCUCAGUUUUGCUGAUUUUCACACCAAUUAAAUUCUACCGGACUAUCUCACAGCACAGCUUCGUCAUAGGGAACUAUUCCUGAUUCCUGAUUCAAUUCGCAAAGCUGUUCAAUUACUUCUGAAUGUCCUUGAUAUACAAGUCUCAGUUGAUUCUCCAAGAGUAACACGGUACUUCAGUUGUCGACGCAGACGGAGUUAACUAAUAUCGAAUAACGUAUAAAAUCCGUAAUUAGCUACCCUUCGUAAAUCCAUAUACAUAUUAUAUAGUCAGAUAAACACAUAGCACACAGUUGGACAAUAAACUUUUAUAGCUAUUAAAAGUCAAUAUUGAUAAGUUAACAUAUAACAUGUUUUAGUCAACCGUGUCACCUUAUUCUUAUCUAUUUAAUUUCCUUUAACUAGUAAAACAUAUAUAGUUUCUAACAAAAAUUCGAAACACGGUACUUCAGUUGUCGACGCAAACGGAGUUAACUAAUAUCGAAUAACGUAUAAAAUCCGUAAUUAGCUACCCUUCGUAAAUCCAUAUACAUAUUAUAUAGUCAGAUAAACACAUAGCACACAGUUGGACAAUAAACUUUUAUAACUAUUAAAAGUCAAUAUUGAUAAGUUAACAUAUAACAUGUUUUAGUCAACCGUGUCACCUUAUUCUUAUCUAUUUAAUUUCCUUUAACUAGUAAAACAUAUAUAGUUUCUAACAAAAAUUCGACAGCACCUCCUCUAUUUAUCGGACUAUCCACCUGUUUCCUUAUCCUAUUCAACAAAUAACCAACUCAAUCCAACUCAAUAAACCAACAAGUACUGAACCAAUAUCAAUUAAAACACAAUCACGCCUCAACAAUCCACAUCUCAUCUUUAUACUAUAAGAAAUAAAGAUUUCAGGUAUUUAUAUGCAUAUAAUCCCAAAAUCUAAAGUCCUUAAUCCUUGUAUAAUCAUACCUCAUUCAUUCUCAAUCAUUCUCAUACUAUAAGAAAUAUAAUUUUAAUUAUAUAAAUACAUAUACCCGAGAAGUCAAGGCAUAUAUACAUAUUUAUAUAAUCAAAACUUAUCUUUCCUAAUCCUCGUAUGAUCAUCAUGAUUAUUUAUAACCAAUGGAAUAACAUCAACCAUUCCUCGCUGACUGAAUUUAAAUAAUUAGCACACUCUGAAAUCAUAUGAUGAAUCAGAAGUCAAUAGGGAUGGCAGAAAAAACCGAUUCGAAUGGAUACCCGACCGUUUCGACCCGAAUGGAUCUUACCGAACCCGAUAUUUUGGAUUUGGAUUUGGAUUUGGAUUUGAUUUUUAGACCCGAACGAGUUUGGAUUUGGAUUUGGAUACUAGGUAUUCCGUAUCGAAACCCGACCCGAAAUCCGAAUCCGAUCCAAACCCGAUCCAAACCCGAAACCCGAAAAAAAAUCCAAAUAUGUAUAUGUAUAUGUAUAUGUAUAUGUAUACUAAUAUACUUUUUUUCAAUUUUAAAUCUACUAAAUGUUGUUUAUAUAUACAUACGUAGAGUGUGAAUGUGUAUAUUCUUGGGUUAUAAUGACUUUUUUUGUUUAACUAAUGAAUUACUUUAAAAUUUCAUACUUCAUAUAGUGAAGAUUUGUGUUUAGAAAUUAUUAAAUACGUUUCAAGAUUUUAUUAAUGUGUAAUACUUUAUUAUUAAAGUAGUUUAGUUUUAUAUAUAAUGAAAUUUAAGGGCGAAAAAAUCAAAAAUAAUAUUUCUACAAUACUAUAUAAAUUUCGGAAUUCAGGUUUUGGAUAAACCCGAACAAACCCGAACCCGAUCCGAAACCCGUGGAUUUGGAUUUGGAUUUGAUAUCUGAAACCCGAUUGGAUUUGGAUUUGGAUUUGGAUUUUAAAAAUAAUUUGGAUUUGGAUUUGGAUAUCUCAAAUAUCCGAACCGAUCCAACCCGUUGCCAUCCCUAGAAGUCAAUAAUUCAACUUUUUAACAAAAUAUUUCUCAGAGAUCUUUAUAAAUCUUACACAUAGAGAUCAUCACUAUUUCAACCCAAACUCAUAGAUUUAAACUAGCAAAAACAAUUCUCUUUGUGACAUCAAAACCGAAUUUUCACAAGUUUGCGCUAUCGACAUUCAAACAUUUUUAAGAAAUCAAAAAUACAAGUUUUUCACUUGAAAUUUUUAUGAGACCUCCCUUAACUCCCUGACUAGCUACAAAAUAAGUUUUGGCUUAAAAAUCAAAGUUUAAGUAAUUAAACUAUAGUUUAGAAAGUAGAAAAGUGAAGCAGUUUUGUACUCUGCGCAUGCCAUACUAAAACUGUCAUAUCUCCUAACUCGCUAAUCGAAUCGAUUCGAUUCUUUCGCGCACAUAAAGUAGACUCUGAGAAGAUCAUAAAUCUCUGAAAGUCUCAUUUUAAAAAUGAUCUUAAGCUGUUCGAAAAAGAGCUCCAAACAGAGGCAGAGUUGCUGCGAAAACUCAACGAAAAGUGACUCAAAAAUUUAUAAACAAUUUGUACCAACCAUAACCCUUACAAAUUUAUUCAAUUCAAUACAACAAACACAUUACAUAAAGUUUUCUUCCCAACAAAUGCCCCGAAUCUAUCUCCAAUUAAACUCCCUAAUUCAUAUGAACACACUCUGUUCUAAAAGUCGGUGAUUAAUCACGAUUAGUCACCGAUUAAUCCCUGUUCCGUAGCUCGCCGAACUGAUUAAAUCUCCAAUUAAUUAAUGAUUAAUCCGAGUAAUCCCCGAUCAAUUCAAUUAAUCACCGAUUAAUACCUGUUCCGUGACUUCACCGAUUAAGUCUGAUUCCCGUUUUUUACAACACUGUGAACACAUAUACAACAAUUAACUCCCAAUCGAGUAAACAUUACCCCAAUUAGCCUCUAAUCACGUAGUUAAUUAAAUUAAACUUUAAUAACCAAAGCAAUUCUUAACUAAUGCAAGACAAGUAUAUAUACACCCACAUAUAUAUAUAUACAUACAUAGAUAUAGCUGAUUUGGUCUCAAAUUGGCUAACUUAAUCAAUUCAAAUCGUAGUGAAUACAACACAACAUAUAUACACAUACAUAUAUAAACUGAUUUUAUAAAGAAGAAUGGAUUCAUACCCACUGAUUACAAUAGCAGGUGAGAGGGGAGGUGAAUUCGCCGGGAAGAGCAAGAAGAACAGGCGGCAGCGACAAUUUCAGCGGAGCUCAACAGUGGCACAGCGGAGAUGAAGACACAGCAACAUCGGACUCGAACAAAAGAGGGAAGUGAUGUUGUGAAAGAAAAACGAGGUGAUGAUCGGAGUUGUGGGGAGAUGAUAACUGGAGGCUAAGGGAUGAUGAGGGGUGAGGCGGUGAAGUUGUAAUCGGAGAGCGUGCAGAACGAAUUUGAAGCAGAGUGAAUAGGUGUAUACAGUGACUUGGGUACGUAUGUGACUUGGGUGCAGUUUGUGCAUAGUUGCGAAUGUAGUUGCUCAUUCGUUAGCUAGGGCGUCUCAUUCCGAGUCAGGCCUGCAGGAGUGGAUAGAUGUCGCUCCUGAUUUCC